UACGUAGGGACCAAGCGUUGUUCGGAUUUACUGGGCGUAAAGGGCGCGUAGGCGGCUUAACAAGUCACUUGUGAAAUCUCCGGGCUUAACUCGGAACGGCCAAGUGAAACUGUCAAGCUAGAGUGCAGAAGGGGCAAUCGGAAUUCUUGGUGUAGCGGUGAAAUGCGUAGAUAUCGAGAGGAACACCUGAGGUGAAGACGGGUUGCUGGGCUGACACUGACGCUGAGGCGCGAAAGCUAGGGGAGCGAACGGG
rnacentral:rRNA from 1 species